rnacentral:rRNA from 1 species
CCCUUAGAUGUUCUGGGCCGCACACGCGCUACACUGAAGGAGGCAGCGUGUACUCCUGGAUCGAAAGAUUUGGGUAACCCGCGAAUCUCCUUCGUGCUAGGGAUUGAGGUUUGCAAUUAUCCUUCAUGAACGAGGAAUUCCCAGUAAGUGCAAGUCAUAAGCUUGCGCUGACUACGUCCCUGCCCUUUGUACACACCGCCCGUCGCUACUACCGAUUGAAUGAUUUAGUGAGGACUUCGGACUGGGGCCGAUGCGGCUUUCGGGCUGCGUCGGUAUUCUGGAAAGAUGUCCAAACUGUAUCAUUUAGAGGAAGUAAAANUCGUANCA